UUGAACGCUGGCGGCAUGCUUUACACAUGCAAGUCGAACGGCAGCGGGGGCUUCGGCCUGCCGGCGAGUGGCGAACGGGUGAGUAAUGCAUCGGAACGUACCCAGUCGUGGGGGAUAACUACGCGAAAGCGUGGCUAAUACCGCAUACGCCCUGAGGGGGAAAGCGGGGGACCUUCGGGCCUCGCGCGAUUGGAGCGGCUGAUGUCGGAUUAGCUGGUUGGUGGGGUAAAGGCCUACCAAGGCGACGAUCCGUAGCUGGGCUGAGAGGAUGAUCAGCCACACUGGGACUGAGACACGGCCCAGACUCCUACGGGAGGCAGCAGUGGGGAAUUUUGGACAAUGGGCGCAAGCCUGAUCCAGCCAUGCCGCGUGAGUGAAGAAGGCCUUCGGGUUGUAAAGCUCUUAUCAUGAGGAAGAAAUAUGACGGUACUCGUGGAAUAAGUCUUGGCUAACUACGU
rnacentral:rRNA from 1 species